rnacentral:rRNA from 1 species
UACGUAGGGCGCAAGCGUUGUCCGGAAUUAUUGGGCGUAAAGAGCUCGUAGGCGGCUUGUCACGUCGGGUGUGAAAGCCCGGGGCUUAACCCCGGGUCUGCAUUCGAUACGGGCAGGCUAGAGUGUGGUAGGGGAGAUCGGAAUUCCUGGUGUAGCGGUGAAAUGCGCAGAUAUCAGGAGGAACACCGGUGGCGAAGGCGGAUCUCUGGGCCGUAACUGACGCUGAGGAGCGAAAGCAUGGGGAGCGAACAGG